AGUUUUGUGCAAACUUUGAGAAGGAAAUAUUAAAAAAGUAUCAAGAGAGUCCAAGAUGCGAACAAGAAGGUCGAAAGCAAAAAGGAUAUAGCAUGGAAUAAAGAUCCAUAAUGUGACUGAAGCUGGAAAAGCAGGCCUGCAGAAAAACCUGUUUGUUGCUGGCAGCCUUCUCUCGGAGGAAUGUGAUGCAGAGCACAGAUAAAAGCACGAGCAUCUGUUAAGAUGAUUGGCAUUAUCCUGACAACAGUGUAAAAAUCAUCUGCUUGGGAUGGCAAGCAGGCACAAUCCAAACAAAAUCAACAUCAGCUUCAAUUUGCAGAGCCAAAGAGGUUCAAAAGUUUAUGAAGACAACCUUGAAAGUUUUGCAUUUGUGUCCUUUGAAGAGAUAAUACAGGUCGUGUGCAGAUACAGAAGUAAUUCAAAAAUCUUGAGUUCUUUCAGCAAAUACUAGCAAAUGUGGCCAAAAAAUGUGUUUUUCAAGAUGCUUUGCCAAUUUCUUUUCUUCAUAGAUAAAUGAAGAUUUCAGUUGUGGAGAGCCCAUUUACAUUCUACAGAAAGGUAGUGUGUAAAUUAUAUUCACUAGCAUGUCAAAAGGCACCAGCAUAAUAACCAGGGUAGUAACACAUAUCUAACACAUAAAUCUUAAAUCUUUUUUCACAGUUUUUGGCUAUCCUACUUUUAUUUCUGUCUCUGUGGACCUGUGGUGCACUCCUAUCCAGUGACCUUUGUAUAGUAUCUUGAUUUUGCAAUACAGAGUUAUAGCAGAGCAACCAAGAAAUUUAAUAUCAAACCAGAGU